ensembl:snRNA LOC120101207 U6 spliceosomal RNA
GUGUUCACUUUGGUAGCAUAUCUACUAAAAUUGGAAAAACACAUUGAAGAUUAGCAUGGACACUUUUCAUGACUGAUGCAUAAAUUUCAGAAGCAGACCAUAAAAUU